rnacentral:rRNA from 1 species
AUCUUGACAUCCAAUUGACCAUCUUUUAAUCGUAGAUUUUGCCUUCGGGUACAAUUGAGACAGGUGGUGCAUGGUUGUCGUCAGCUCGUGUCGUGAGAUGUUGGGUUAAGUCCCGCAACGAGCGCAACCCUGCAUUCAGUUGCCAUCGGGUAAUGCCGGGCACUCUGGAAGGACUGCCAUCGACAAGAUGGAGGAAGGUGGGGAUGACGUCAAGUCAUCAUGGCCCUUACGGCCUGGGCUACACACGUGCUACAAUGGUCGGUACAAAGGGUUGCCAAGCCGCGAGGUGGAGCUAAUCCCAUAAAACCGAUCGUAGUCCGGAUCGCAGUCUGCAACUCGACUGCGUGAAGUCGGAAUCGCUAGUAAUCGUGAAUCAGAAUGUCACGGUGAAUACGUUCCCGGGCCUU